AGGUGUUGGUUUGUGUCAUCUUAUUGAUGGAACUCCAAGUCUCUUUACAGAAGAGUUGAAGGUUUUAUAAGAGGAAAGGUUAUUUUACCAUGUCGGUACAAUGCGAUGCCUAUUGAAGAGGUCAGCAUAUUUUGGCGAUACAAGGAUGACCGUAAUGUCUACAAUAUUGUCAGUGGAAAAGCAGACUUGACAGACCAAGACCGUCAGUUCAGAGACAGAACCAGGAUUUUCCCUGAGGAAUGGGCAAACGGCAACUUCUCUCUCCUGCUGACUGAUCUCAAGGACAUCGAUAGUGGGAGUUAUUCAUGUUUCAUACCAACAAUGAACAUUCUUCGUCAAGUGGAACUUUCGGUUCAAGAGAAACGAACUCCUGAGCCUAAAGUUGAUCCUAGGAGCAGCAGCAUGAGUAUCAGAGAGCUGAACCAGAGCCUCUUCCUGUUUCUCCUCCUCAGUCCAACUCCCCACUUCCUUUGACUUACAGCACAGAAAUUGGUCUUUGUGCCACUUAUGAGACUGUUGACAAGUUCUGAGUGUUUAAACUGCUGAAAUACGUAUUUAUUCUGAAAUGUAUGUAAUAGGAGACUGCAAAUACACCUCUUGCUAGAACCACCUUUCAAGAGGUGAGGAAAAGUUUUUCCAAAUUGCCUGUAGACACAGUGUGUUUACUGAUAGAACCACAGUAACUUCUGCACUUAUGUAAGUUUUGCUUUUUGUCAACUAUAUUUAAUGCACUUUUAAUACAAUAUUUAUUGCUGAGUAAAUGCAUAAAAAAAUUUUUAAACCAGGGUCAUAUGUUAAAUCGAAAUUGGAAAUUGGAAAUGGCAUAGAAAUAGGAUUUUGUCAGUGUGUCCCUCUUGUCAACAAGAUGCAGCUUUACUUACCAAGUUAUUGAAAUAUCUCCAGAUCAGUCAUUAAUAUUGUACUACCAAAUGACAGAUGUUUUGUUGAGAACUUGAGAUUGAACAUGUGCUGCACAGUAAAAACGUUAUUUCAGUCAACCUUUCAAUUAGGAAGUUUAUUACUUGGACACCACAGUGUUAUUAAAGAAAACAUAUUCACUUCCUCAAUGCUCUUCAUUAAAGAGUGUUUCUUUUAGCUUUUUGCAAACUAUGGUUUGAUCAUGUGUUUGCACAGUGUGUUCAGAUAGAUGUAUGUGUUAGGAGGAAGUCCGUUCAGACUCAAAGAUUAAUCACAGCUCUGAAGAUGUCGAGGAUUGUUGCCUGUCUGUUCUGUAAGACCAUUUAUUUUUCUUAUCUUAUUUAUUUUACAUUCAUUUUACAAUAAAUGAAGUGUCUCAUGGA